GAUCCUGGCUCAGGAUGAACGCUGGCGGCGUGCUUAACACAUGCAAGUCGAACGGGAAACAUUUUAUUGAAGCUUCGGCAGAUUUAGCUUGUUUCUAGUGGCGGACGGGUGAGUAACGCGUGGGUAACCUGCCUUAUACCGGGGGAGUAACAGCCAGAAAUGGCUGCUAAUACCGCAUAAGCGCACGAGAACCGCAUGGUUCCGUUGUGAAAAACUCCGGUGGUAUAAGAUGGACCCGCGUUGGAUUAG
rnacentral:rRNA from 1 species